CCAAUGCGGGAUCUGAAGGAAGCUCUAGCCAAAUCGGUCACCUAAAUGAAAGUGAACCUUCGUAAGGCGGCAACAAAAGGGUAAGGUGCCCUCGACCACCGAAGCCCAAUAUUCUCGCCGUAAUUUGUUGUUGUAUUGAAGGUAGGAAGACCGAGAUAAAGUUGACUAU
rfam:Cycloclasticus sp. symbiont of Bathymodiolus heckerae isolate specimen P Ga0097674_1047, whole genome shotgun sequence.